GAUGAACGCUGGCGGCGUGCCUAAUACAUGCAAGUCGAGCGAACGGACGAGAAGCUUGCUUCUCUGAUGUUAGCGGCGGACGGGUGAGUAACACGUGGAUAACCUACCUAUAAGACUGGGAUAACUUCGGGAAACCGGAGCUAACACCGGAUAAUAUUUUGAACCGCAUGGUUCAAAAGUGAAAGACGGUCUUGCUGUCACUUAUAGAUGGAUCCGCGCUGCAUUAGCUAGUUGGUAAGGUAACGGCUUACCAAGGCAACGAUGCAUAGCCGACCUGAGAGGGUGAUCGGACACACGGGAACAGAGACACGGUCCAGACUCCUACGGGAGGCAGCAGUAGGGAAUCUUCCGCAAUGGGCGAAAGCCUGACGGAGCAACGCCGCGUGAGUGAUGAAGGUCUUCGGAUCGUAAAACUCUGUUAUUAGGGAAGAACAUAUGUGUAAGUAACUGUGCACAUCUUGACGGUACCUAAUCAGAAAGCCACGGCUAACUACGUG
rnacentral:rRNA from 1 species